UACAGAGGGUGCGAGCGUUGUUCGGAAUUAUUGGGCGUAAAGCGCUUGUAGGCGGUCAAUCAAGUCCUGUGUGAAAGCCCAUGGCUUAACCAUGGAAGUGCGCAGGAAACUGAUGGACUUGAGUGCCGGAGAGGGUCGCGGAAUUCCCGGUGUAGAGGUGAAAUUCGUAGAUAUCGGGAGGAACACCAGUGGCGAAGGCGGCGACCUGGACGGACACUGACGCUGAGACGCGAAAGCGUGGGGAGCAAACAGG
rnacentral:rRNA from 1 species